rnacentral:rRNA from 1 species
GAUGAACGCUGGCGGCGUGCUUAACACAUGCAAGUCGAACGGUGAGGCGACUUCCUUUUUGGUGUGUGUGGAUGAGUGGAGAACGGGUGAGUAACACGUGAAUAACCUGAUCCCUUCUUCUGGAUAACCGCAUGAAAGUGUGGCUAAUACGGGAUAUUCUGGGCCUGUCGCAUGAUGGGUCUGGGACAGUUAUUCUUUCGGUGGGGGAUGGGCUCGCGGCCUAUCAGCUUGUUGGUGGGGUGACGGCCUACCAAGGCGGUGACGAGUAGCCGCCCUGAGAGGGUGGGCGGUCACACUGGGACGGAGACGUGGCGCAGACUCCGAGGGGAGGCAGCAGGGAGGAAUAUGGCACGGGGGGCGGAAGGCUGAUGCAGCGCCGCCGCGGGGGGGAUGGAGGCCGGCGGGUUGUGAACCGUUUUCGCGAGUGAAGCAGGCCUGCCGCGGGUGUGGGUGGGUUGACGGUAGCUGGAUAAGAAGCGCCGGCUAACUACGUG